AGUGAACGCUGGCGGUAGGCCUAACACAUGCAAGUCGAACGGGAGCACAGUAAGAGCUUGCUCUUACGGGCGGCGAGUGGCGGACGGGUGAGGUAUACAUCGGAAUCUACUUUUUCGUGGGGGAUAACGUAGGGAAACUUACGCUAAUACCGCAUACGACCUACGGGUGAAAGCAGGGGAUGUUUGGACCUUGCGCGAUGGAAUGAGCCGAUGUCGGAGUAGCUAGUUGGCGGGGUAAAGGCCCACCAAGGCGACGAUCCGUAGCUGGUCUGAGAGGAUGGUCCGCCACACUGGCACAGAGGCACGGCCGACACACCUGCGGUGGGACGCAGUGGAGAAUAUUGCGCAAUGGAGGAGAGCCUGAUCCUGCCAUACCGCGUGAGUGAUGAAGGCGUUCGGGUUGUAAAGCCCUUUUGUUGGGAAAGAAGAGCAGCAGGUUUAUACGCCGCUGUUCUGACAGUACCCAAAGAAUAAGCACCGGCUAACUUCGUG
rnacentral:rRNA from 1 species